rnacentral:tRNA from 1 species
GCCCCGGUAGCUCAGUCGGUAGAGCAGAGGACUGAAAAUCCUCGUGUCGGCGGUUCGAUUCCGUCCCUGGGCA